AGUUUGCUGUAGCAACACGUCAACAUUUUUUUAAAUGUCCCGCCCCAUCCAGGCUGCGAUUGGUCGGUUCACGACACUCGUGAGCAACGUGCACACGGUUGGUCAAAAAAAGCCCCCGAUCUUCUCCCUGCUCCGUCUGCGCCGGCGCAGAGAGCAGGAAACGCGCGCCAAAGAGGAAGAUGUAGAAGUACCGGCGCUGCGUACCGGGGAGUCCCGGCUCACGUUAACCUCGGCGUUUGGGCUUUUUUCUGCUGUUCAGGCUCCACGUGUUGUUGCUGUGGUGCUGAGGUGUUUGCGUACCUGGAGGAGAGGACUUCAUCCAUGGAGGCACAGCGACUUCGGCCCUGCAUGCUGAACCUCUUCCCGGGCUGUGGUGUUCGAGACUGAGCCUGAAGCACCUGAAAGGCCUCCAGGUGGGACUGUUUGCCCCAGGACCGCUCACUCCCCCUGGGCAGACUGCUGGUCUUCACCUUGGGCUCCUUGGAUGUCACCCGGAGCUUGGACACGUCGGUGCCGGCUCGCUGACGAACUCCGCACCCCCCAGAUCCGACAACUGCCGCUUGUCCACACGACCCCCCCUCGUCUGGGAAGCUGUUAUCCCAGGAUUCCCGGGAGGCGUCAUCGUAGUCCGGACAGAAACCAUCCUCCUCUGCAACCAGGUCCAGAGUCAGCAUGCCAUGGGACGAGGUGGACG